GGUGGGAUUGUGGUUUCAGGUCCAGCUGGAUCCAGGUGCUCAAAUAACAUUGUAAGAAAUCUAUCUCUCUCUAGGUAGGGUGCGGCGGCUCACACUUGUAAUCCCAGCACUUUGGGAGGCUGAGGUGGGUGGAUCACCUAAGGUCAGGAGUUUGAGACCAGCCUGACCAACAUAGUGAAAUCCCAUCUCUGCUAAAAAUACAAAAAUUAGCCAGGCAUGAUGGUGGGUACUUGUAAUUCCAGCUACUUGGAAGACUGAGGCAGGAGAA
rnacentral:lncRNA from 1 species